rnacentral:rRNA from 1 species
GUCGAGCGAUAACGCACAUCCCUUGCUUCUUUGCUGACGAGCGGCGGACGGGUGAGUAAUGCUGGGCAGUACCCUGUUGGGUGGGCUGCAACUGGGGGCAACUACCGCAUAUACCGGUCCAUGUCAUGGGGCCAGGGUGGGGGAUCCUGGGGCCUCAGGUCAACCCAUUGCCUAUCAUGGGAUUGCUAGGUGGUGGGGCAAUGGCUUACCAACGCGACGAUCCCUAGCUGGUUUGAGAGGAUGAUCCGGGAACUGGGACUGACAACGGCCCACACUCCUACGGGAGGGGGAGAGUGCAAAAUGGGCGAAGGGUGAUGCCCUGAUGCCGCCUGGCCGAGGGUGUCCUUAAGGCCGUCGACCUGUUUCAGACUUUAAUAAGCGAAAAUAGGGGUACCUUUAAUAGACGCUCUCGGUAACGUUACUUCAGAACAAGGACCGGAUAUAUCCGUGCAGGCAGGCCCGGUAUUACUGAGCGUGCGAGCGUUAAUCGCAGUUUGUGGGCGUAGAGGGUACGCCCCCGGUUUGAUACCCGAGUCGUCAAACCCUCGGGCUCAGCUUGGGAACUGCAUUUCAAAUCGGAAUUCUAGAUUGAGAGAUAGGGUGGUAAAAAUUCAGGAGUAACACCGAAGUGCAUAGAGAUCCUAAGGAAUACCGCUGACGAUGGUGACCCCUGCGUUCACACUGACGCUCAUGACUAGCGUGUGAGUACAAACAUAUUCAGAGACCUGGUAUUCGCGCCCAAUCCAUGUCUCUAGCGCUCGGAACGUCUUUCGGCCUUCCUGCUAAUACGUAGUAGGCCGCCCGGGCAACCAGUGGCUAGAUCUCAACCCAAUUGAUUGGCCGGGGCCUCCCACCGCGUGCAUGUAGUUAAAUCGGGUAGAAAAAAAAACUAACUCAGAAUUA